CCUUCCAGGUUUGGGCUUACAAGGCUAGUCCACUUAUUGGAUUGAAAUAUGCCACUCGUGUAUCUGAGAGCUAUCCUCGAAUAUUAAAUUGGAGUGCAACUAGUGCUCCAAGGUCUACUGAGUUAACUUUUCAUUUGCUCCUAACACCCUCUUUAGAGGAGCAACACCAAGACUAUUACAAGCAUGUAGAUAAACAAGGAGUUUCAGCAGAAAUGUUGCACCAAUCAAAUGCCUCACAAGAUGCCAAGAAGGAUGACUUAAGGCAUGAAAAAAACUCAUUUGACACUGCUACAUAUGUUGUUGCUGCUACUGCUGCAAUGGCAGAAGAAACAAAAAAUGAUGCAGCUACCCCAUCAAUAGAGCAAAAUGCUCAAGCAAGAUGGAUUAAGCAUGGCAAGAAAUGGAACCAAUUCAAAUUACCAGAGAAUGACAUUCUUAUUGAUUAUGUUAAUGGUUCACAACCUCUUUAUUAUGUCAAA